CUCGCCAAACGGUCACAUUCGCAACUUCCUGUCUGCUGAUCACAUGACCCGACACUCCCCAAAACGUGACACCUGCAAGCUGAUGAACACACACACACACACACACACACACACACAUUAUAAAUCCUCUCUAUUGAAUCAAAGCAGCAGUUUCUCUGCUUCACUGCCGUUGGAUUCUUAAAGUGAAUAAACGUUGUUCCCCACCCUGACAGCCAGCAGGGUCGUCCUGCCUCAGGUUAAAGAAGCCACGUUUGCAGCGAUCGCAGCGUUCACCGUCCACGUUUUCUUUGCAGACACAGCGACCACUCAGGGCGUCGCACAGCCCGCCCAGCUGAGAACCGGCCGGAUCGCAGUCACAGGCUGAAACACAGGAAAUAUGUUGGCUGUGUUUUGUCCUCCAGGCCUCCAGGGGGAGUCGUGGUGAAAGUCCUGACAUCUCUCACAGUUCUCUCCAGCUGUGUUGUGCUGGCAGACACACCUGCCGUGGACCUGCAGAGCAGACAACAUGCUUUUGAUGUUUGAAGCUGGGCAGGCAGGCCGUCCAGUCAUCAUUCACGUGGAUCAAAUAUCGUCAGAGCAUUUCAUUGAUUGAUUUCUGUCAGGAUGUUAAGAGAUUUUCAACAAAUGUACAAAAACAAAAGCUUCUGAAAUAAAUUACCAACCAUACCUGUAAUA